rnacentral:rRNA from 1 species
ACGAACGCUGGCGGCGUGCCUAAUACAUGCAAGUAGAACGCUGAAGAGAGGAGCUUGCUCUUCUUGGAUGAGUUGCGAACGGGUGAGUAACGCGUAGGUAACCUGCCUUGUAGCGGGGGAUAACUAUUGGAAACGAUAGCUAAUACCGCAUAACAAUGGAUGACACAUGUCAUUUAUUUGAAAGGGGCAAUUGUUCCACUACAAGAUGGACCUGCGUUGUAUUAGCUAGUAGGUGAGGUAAUGGCUCACCUAGGCGACGAUACAUAGCCGACCUGAGAGGGUGAUCGGCCGCACUGGGACUGAGACACGGCCCAGACUCCUACGGGAGGCAGCAGUAGGGAAUCUUCGGCAAUGGGGGCAACCCUGACCGAGCAACGCCGCGUGAGUGAAGAAGGUUUUCGGAUCGUAAAGCUCUGUUGUAAGUCAAGAACGGGUGUGAGAGUGGAAAGUUCACACUGUGACGGUAGCUUACCAGAAAGGGACGGCUAACUACGUGCCAGCAGCCGCGGUAAUACGUAGGUCCCGAGCGUUGUCCGGAUUUAUUGGGCGUAAAGCGAGCGCAGGCGGUUUGAUAAGUCUGAAGUUAAAGGCUGUGGCUCAACCAUAGUUCGCUUUGGAAACUGUCAAACUUGAGUGCAGAAGGGGAGAGUGGAAUUCCAUGUGUAGCGGUGAAAUGCGUAGAUAUAUGGAGGAACACCGGUGGCGAAAGCGGCUCUCUGGUCUGUAACUGACGCUGAGGCUCGAAAGCGUGGGGAGCGAACAGGAUUAGAUACCCUGGUAGUCCACGCCGUAAACGAUGAGUGCUAGGUGUUGGAUCCUUUCCGGGAUUCAGUGCCGCAGCUAACGCAUUAAGCACUCCGCCUGGGGAGUACGACCGCAAGGUUGAAACUCAAAGGAAUUGACGGGGGCCCGCACAAGCAGUGGAGUAUGUGGAUUAAUUCGAAGCAACGCGAAGAACCUUACCAGGUCUUGACAUCGUAUGCAUAGCUCAGAGAUGAGUGAAAUCUCUUCGGAGACAUAUAGACAGGUGGUGCAUGGUUGUCGUCAGCUCGUGUCGUGAGAUGUUGGGUUAAGUCCCGCAACGAGCGCAACCCCUAUUGUUAGUUGCCAUCAUUCAGUUGGGCACUCUAGCGAGACUGCCGGUAAUAAACCGGAGGAAGGUGGGGAUGACGUCAAAUCAUCAUGCCCCUUAUGACCUGGGCUACACACGUGCUACAAUGGUUGGUACAACGAGUUGCGAGUCGGUGACGGCGAGCUAAUCUCUUAAAGCCAAUCUCAGUUCGGAUUGUAGGCUGCAACUCGCCUACAUGAAGUCGGAAUCGCUAGUAAUCGCGGAUCAGCACGCCGCGGUGAAUACGUUCCCGGGCCUUGUACACACCGCCCGUCACACCACGAGAGUUUGUAACACCCGAAGUCGGUGAGGUAACCUUUUGGAGCCAGCCGCCUAAGGUGGGACAGAUGAUUGGGGUG